CCUUUGACAGUCCACCAAAAGAUGUCAAACCAAAUCCAGCCUAUUGUAAAGCUCUGGGACCUCCCUUCCAAGGACACCGAACACAAGCUUAGACACCGCUGCGAAAAGCUGUCCAAAAGCGCCUGGCCGGACAGAAAUGGUUGCCGUGCAGGGAGUGUCAGCCACGUCUAGCGCACAGUCCCAGGCCCCAGGGCGAAGGCGGCCAGGGGAAAUGGGGCUCAGGGAUUGCUAAGCAAACGCAUCACUGGUGGUCUCCAGCGCCUGCGGAGCAUCAAGCUUAUGAAGAUUUCCAAGACUUUAUUGUUGACCCUUGUUGAAGAGAACUCUACUUGGCUUCUUUCCUGGCUUUCCUAAAUUGUUCACAUACAAGAUAAACUACCGUCAUUCAGACUUACAGAAGUGAGAAGACAAGCUGAACCAAAUGUAAAAUGGUAGCAAUUUACAGAUGUCAGAACUAACAUGUGGAUGAACUUAGAGAUGGAGAAGAAAGCUGGGCUUUUCCAAAGAGUGGAUCUAUCUGAACUGGAUAGCACUAUUGAACUUUGUUGCAUAUUUUGUGGUAGCUCUAAAACUCCUCUGCUUGCUUACAUACAACCAGACACCAGUGCCUUCUGAAGCUAAUCCAGGCCAUUUUUAUAACCUAAUGCAGUAGCACUUUGCAAUUAGAUGAAGAAGAUCGGUGGGAUUUCUUUCUGUGGUGAUUAAAAUGUGUCAGGGGAAGAAAUCAAGACAAUACUCCAAGUGAAAAAUAUAAAGUCAGUUAUUUCUUUAAUAUUUUGUGUUAUAGUAAUCAUUUUUAUAUUUUGAGCAUACUUUUUCUUGUCUACUUAAAUACUCAAAAUUAAUUAUAAAAUGUAAAUGUAAGCACAAUGAGAUACCAUCUCAUCCCAGUUAAAAUGGCUUUUAUCAAAAAGAUAGGGAAUAAUGAAUACUGGUGGAAGGAUGUGGAGAAUGGGGAACCCUCGUACACUGUCAAUGAGAAUGUAAAUUAGUACAGCCACUAUGGAAAACUGUAUGGAAGUGCCUCCGAAAACAAAGUAGAACUACCAUGUGAUCCAGCAAUUACACUAGUGGGUAUAUAUUCAAAAGAAAGGAAAUCAACAUAUUAAAGAGAUAGCUGCAUUCUCAUGUUUAUUGAAGUCCUGUUGAAAUAGCCAAAAUAUGGAAUCAACCUAAGUGCCCAUCAGUGGAUGAAUGGUUAAAGAAAAUGUGAUUGAUAUGCAAUGGAAUAUUAUUCAGCCAUAAAAAAGAAUGAAAUCCUGGCGGGGCACAGUGGCUCAUGCAAGUAAUCCCAGCACUGACCUCAUGAAGACAGAGAGUAGAUUGGUGGUUACCAGAGGUUGAGAAGGGGAGAGGAGAGGAGGGAUGAAGAGAGGUUGAUUGAUGGAUAGAAAUAUACAGUUUGAUAAUGAUAAAUCAGUAGGGUGACUAUAGUUUAUAAUAACCUAUUGUAUGGUUCAAAAUAGCUAAAAGAGAAUAAUUGAAAUAACGUAAGACAAAAAUUUAAGAUGAUAGAUAUCCCAAUUACACUGAUUUGAUCUUUACAAAUUAUAUGAAUGUAUUAAAUUAUUACAUGUAUCCCCAAAAUAUGUACAAGUAUUUUGUAUCAAUAAAAAAUAAAAUUUAAGAUAAAGUAAAUGUAAUGAUUAGCU
ensembl:lncRNA MALINC1 mitosis associated long intergenic non-coding RNA 1